rnacentral:rRNA from 1 species
AGCGAACAUUGGCGGUAGGCUUAACACAUGCAAGUCGAGCGAGGCGUAAUAGUCGAGCGGCGAACGGGUGCGUAAUACAUGGGAAUCUACCCCGAAGUGGGGGAUAACGUUCAGAAAUGGACGCUAAUACCGCAUAGUCCACAUUGGGAAAGCGUUGCAGCGCUUUAGGAUGAGCCCAUGGCUGAUUAGCUAGUUGGUGAGGUAAUGGCUCACCAAGGCGACGAUCAGUAGCUGGUCUGAGAGGAUGACCAGCCACACUGGAACUGAGACACGGUCCAGACUCCUACGGGAGGCAGCAGUGGGGAAUCUUGCGCAAUGGGGGCAACCCUGACGCAGCCAUACCGCGUGAGUGAUGAAGGUCUUCGGAUUGUAAAGCUCUUUCGGCGGGGACGACGAUGACGGUACCCGCAAAAGAAGUCACGGCUAACUUCGUGCCAGCCGCCGCAGUAA